rnacentral:rRNA from 1 species
UUGAAGGUAGGGUAGUGGCCUACCUUGAUAUUGACGGAUACGGGGGAUCAGGGUUCGAUACCGGAGAGGAGGCCUGAGAGACGGCCGCCACAUCCAAGGAAGGCAGCAGGCGCGAAAAUUACCCUAAUCUCAACACGAGGAGGUAGUGACAAGAAAUAUCGACACGGGUUCCAUACGGGACUUGUAAAGUUGAAAUGAGGACAGUUUAAUUUUUCUUACCGAGGAGCUAUUAGAGGGCAAGUUGGGUGCCAGCAGCCGCGGUAAUACCCACUCUAAAAGUGUAUGUUAAAGUUGUUGCAGUUAAAACGCUCGUAGUCGGAUUCAAGUCGCCGCAUCAGUCUAGGAAGACUUCGGUCAACCGUUAUAAGGACGACGUCAGCGACUAAUUGUUACUUUGAAUAAAAUUUGGUGUUCAAGGCAUGUUAUUUUAACCGCAUGAAAAUCUUAGCAUGGAAUAACAAAAAGACACGUUACGUGAUUUUGUUGGGUCUUUUGGUAAUGUGUAAUGGUUAAAUAGGGACAGACUCGGGGGCGUAAAUAUUGGGUAGGUAGAGGUGGAAUUCAAUGAUCUACUCAGGAUUAACCGAAGCGAAGGCGUUUCGUCAAGGAUGUUUUCGUUGAUCAAGAACGAAAGUUAGGGGAUCGAAGACGAUUAGACACCGUCGUAGUCCUAACCGUAAACUAUCUCGACUAGGGAUUGGUACAGGUAAUUACCGUUAUGGUGAUUGUACUGUAUCAGGACCUCUAGAGAAAUCGUUAAGUUUUUGGAGUCUGGGGGGAAGUAUAAUCGCAAGGUUGAAACUUAAAUCGGAAUUGACGGAAGAGCACCACAAGAGAUGGAGCUUGUUGCUUAAUUUGACCCAACGCGGGGAAGCUUACCAGGACUGGACCGAGAAAGGAUUGACAAGCUAAUGGACUUUUCAAGAUUCUCGGAAUGGUGGUGCAUGGCCGUUCUUAGUUGGUGAAGUGAUUUGUCUGAGUUAAUUCCGUUAACGAGCUAGACCUUAACCUGCUAACUAGUGUUUUGCAUUCUGCCUUCGGGUGGAUGCUAUAGUAGAGUGCAUUAUGUUGCUCUACUGCACUUCUUAGAGGGACUACUAGUGUUGAACUAGAGGAAGCUUGAGGCAAUAACAGGUCUGAGAUGCCCUUGGAUGUCCUGGGCUGCACACGUGCUACAAUGGUCCGACUAAAAAGUUCCAUGCCCGAAAGGGCACUGUGACGAAGGAGCAAUCCUCCGUCCUGGAAAUCUUUUAAACCGGACCUUGCUUUUGGGAUUGGUUAUUGGAAUUUUUAACCAUGAACGAGGAAUUUCUAGUAAGCGCAAGUCAUCAUCUUGCGCUGAAUACGUCCCUGCUCUUUGUACACACCGCCCGUCGCUUAUACCGAUUGGAUGGCCCGGUGAACUCAUUGGACUUCGCUCACCUUGAGUGAGCGGGGGAAGAUAGGUAAACCUUGUCAUCUAGAGGAAUAAGAAGUCGUAACAAGGUA